rnacentral:lncRNA from 1 species
AUACCUACACGUAUUAUAGUAAUAAGCGAAAAUUGUAGAAAUUGCUAUUUAUUUCGUUGAAAAUGGAUCAUAUAGAAAUUGGAAGAGAAGGGACUGGGGACGAGUGUGUUGCCAUAACAACCACAUAGACAAGCCAAAUUGUUGACUUUGUUGCACCCACUAAGUGUACCAAGUUUCAUUAAAUUUUAUUAAAUACUCACCAAGAUAUCAUACUUUC